GUGUUUGUAGGUAGGGUCUAGUAGAUUCCCACUAGGAAUAGUAGAAUGCCCUUCCAAAAAAUAAUUCCGGUUCUUUGAACCUCUAUCUUUUGAAGGGGUCGUUUCUCUGUUCUUAGUAGGGGUCCAUGUAGGCCCUGGCAAUUCCUUUGGGAUUUAACUUAUCCCCAUUGUUGUCACUGCUGCCGGUGGAAGAGGCUUCUUCUAGAAGCUGUAGGACUUCAUCGUUGUUGGUGUCUUGGCUUUCUAUAUCGUGCAAAGCCUUUUUCAAUCUUUCUUUGAGCGCUUGUUUAUUCUGUGAGACGCCUGCUGAAGAUGCUGGUGUUCUCCCCUUGUCGGGAGUUUUAGGAGCUGCUGGCUUGGGAGUCCAGCCUUUAACCUUUAUCUCUUUAGACAGAUAUGUAAUUCGGUCUUGUUCUUCUUUGGCAAAAUUCUAGGAGAU
rnacentral:lncRNA from 1 species